rnacentral:lncRNA from 1 species
AAAACCCCGGCACUGGUAAUUGGAACAGGACUGAGGGUUAACCACAUCCCUGUUCCACGCACCAGUGGCGGUGAUAUUGUAUAUACCCGCCACUGGUUAGUAUUUUGGUUCUAGUAUUAUAUCUAUACCAAUAUAUUAAAUUGGAGUUGGUGGUGAUGGUACGGUCGCGGCGGUACGUCACUUCACCGAAAUUACGAAUCUGCCACCGAUGUCUCCACGUGUCUUUUAAUCCCGGCUCCUACAGUCCUCAAGCGCAAAAAAAACACGUACCGCCCAAAAAAAAAACAACAGAGCCCUCCUCGCUCCUCCUCCUCUCCUAUGAAUCUCACCCCCACCCCCUGCUCGAUCCGGAUCUCCCCCACGCCCGCC